rnacentral:rRNA from 1 species
UGCUCGCAAGGGUGAAACUCAAAGGAAUUUACCGGUGGGGUCUCGCACAAGCGGUGGAGCAUGUGGUUUAAUUUCGAUGAUACGCGAGGAAACCUUACCAGGGUUUGACAUAUGACGGGACUGCGGCAGAGAUGUCGCUUUCCUUCGGGUCCGUCAUACAGGUGCUGCAUGGCUGUCGUCAGCUCGUGCUGUGAGGUGUUUGGGUUUAGUCCCGCUUCGGUAUGCGCAAUCUGGUGCUGUUCCGGUUCCCAACAAACGUAAUGUUGGGAUUCCAGGCCGUUACCUGACGGUGACAACUCGGAGGAAGGUGGGUACGACGUUCAAGUCAUCAUGGUCCUUAUGUCCUGGGCUACACACGUGCUACAAUGGCCGGUACAGAGUUGCAGCGAAACCGCGAGGUGGAGCAAAUCACAGAAAGCCGGUCUCAGUACGGAUUGGAGUCUGAAACCCGACUUCAUGAAGCUGGAAUCGCUAGUAAUCGCGCAUCAGCAUGGCGCGGUGAAUACGUUCCCGGGCCUUGUACA